rnacentral:rRNA from 1 species
AUGAACGCUGGCGGCGUGCCUAAUACAUGCAAGUCGAGCGAACAGACGAGGAGCUUGCUCCUCUGACGUUAGCGGCGGACGGGUGAGUAACACGUGGAUAACCUACCUAUAAGACUGGGAUAACUUCGGGAAACCGGAGCUAAUACCGGAUAAUAUAUUGAACCGCAUGGUUCAAUAGUGAAAGACGGUUUUGCUGUCACUUAUAGAUGGAUCCGCGCCGCAUUAGCUAGUUGGUAAGGUAACGGCUUACCAAGGCAACGAUGCGUAGCCGACCUGAGAGGGUGAUCGGCCACACUGGAACCGAGACACGGUCCAGACUCCUACGGGAGGCAGCAGUAGGGAAUCUUCCGCAAUGGGCGAAAGCCUGACGGAGCAACGCCGCGUGAGUGAUGAAGGUCUUCGGAUCGUAAAACUCUGUUAUUAGGGAAGAACAAAUGUGUAAGUAACUAUGCACGUCUUGACGGUACCUAAUCAGAAAGCCACGGCUAACUACGUG